AGAUUCUCAAGAUUAGGAAGAAAUUGAGAGCCCAAACCAAUGCUAGAACCCGAAUUUUCAACCAUCUAAGCUUGAACAUCAAAAGGCGUGAAGGAAGAAAGCACGAACACUAGUAGAGCGGAAGGUGUACAAGACCGAGGUAAAUCCUCGGCUUAGGCGAUUGGACGGCUUGGAACGUGCACACUUGAUUCAUGCCCGCCUCACGCUUCCGUCACAAGUUGUUUCGA